rnacentral:tRNA from 1 species
GGGUCUUUAGCUCAGUUGGUUAGAGCCUCCAGCUCAUAACUGGAUGGCCCUGGGUUCAAGUCCCAGAAGGCCCACCA